GUGAGGAAUAUUGGUCAAUGGGCGCAAGCCUGAACCAGCAAUGCCGCGUGCAGGAUGAAGGCCCUCGGGUUGUAAACUGCUUUUGUACGAAACGAAAAGCCUGGGGCUAAUAUCCCCGGGUCAUGACGGUACCGUAAGAAUAAGCACCGGCUAACUACGUGCCAGCAGCCGCGGUAAUACGUAGGGUGCAAGCGUUAAUCGGAAUUACUGGGCGUAAAGCGUGCGCAGGCGGUUUUGUAAGACAGGCGUGAAAUCCCCGGGCUAAACCUGGGAAUUGCGCUUGUGACUGCAAGGCUGGAGUGCGGCAGAGGGGGAUGGAAUUCCGCUUGUAGCAGUGAAAUGCGUAGAUAUGCGGAGGAACACCGAUGGCGAAGGCAAUCCCCUGGGCCUGCACUGACGCUCAUGCACGAAAGCGUGGGGAGCAAACAGGAUUAGAUACCCGGGUAGUCC
rnacentral:rRNA from 1 species